rnacentral:rRNA from 1 species
CCUACGGGAGGCAGCAGUGGGGAAUAUUGGGCAAUGGGCGAAAGCCUGACCCAGCGACGCCGCGUGAGGGACGAAGGCCUUCGGGUUGUAAACCUCUUUCAGCAGGGAAGAAGCGAAAGUGACGGUACCUGCAGAAGAAGCACCGGCUAACUACGUGCCAGCAGCCGCGGUAAUACGUAGGGUGCAAGCGUUGUCCGGAAUUAUUGGGCGUAAAGAGCUCGUAGGUGGUUUGCCACGUCGGAUGUGAAAACCUGAGGCUUAACCUCAGGCCUGCAUUCGAUACGGGCAGACUAGAGUGUGGUAGGGGAGACUGGAAUUCCUGGUGUAGCGGUGAAAUGCGCAGAUAUCAGGAGGAACACCGGUGGCGAAGGCGGGUCUCUGGGCCAUAACUGACACUGAGGAGCGAAAGCGUGGGGAGCAAACAGGAUUAGAUACCCUGGUAGUCCACGCCGUAAACGGUGGGCACUAGAUGUGGGGACCUUCCACGGUCUCUGCGUCGCNGCUACGCAUAGUGCCCGCCGUCGGGAGGUACGGCCGCGACGGACGUAAACUACAAUAGAAGUUAGACGGCGUGAGACGCGCCGACGGACGACGACGAGGGAGGUAGG